GAACACAAAAAUACUACAUAAAUUAUUGGCCAGACUUUACUACAAAAGAAUACUUAAAAUAACAAAAAUACUUGUGAACACAAAGGAGGAUCCUGAGGUCGGGACGUUCCUUGAAGGAGGAUACUCUGAAGAAUCCGAUACAGAAUCAAAUAUUCUUUUGGAGGAUAAUAUACUUAAUAGCCUGGACUAUUGGCUUGAAAGAUUGUUUGAUGGAAGAACACAAAAAUACUACAUAAAUUAUUGGCCAGACUUUACUACAAAGUAAUAAGCCUAAAAGUACCUAUGUAAAAUAAAUGUUUAUAACUGAAGCACAUUUAAAGUCAAAAAAUAAAUCGGUCGCUUAAAUUGUACGUGAACCACA